rnacentral:ribozyme from 14 species
AAAAAAAAAAAAAAAAAAAACCUUUUUUUUUUUUUUUUUUUUUUUU